AGACAUAGGUGGCAAGCGUUAUUCGGAAUUACUAGGCGUAAAGCGAGUGUAGGCGGACGAUUAAGUUCGAUGUUAAAUCUCCAGGCUUAACUUGGAGUCGCAUCGGAUACUGGUCGCCUCGAGUGGGGUAGGGGGCAGCGGAAUUCCCGGUGUAGCGGGGAAAUGCGUAGAUAUCGGGAGGAACACCUAUGGCGAAAGCAGCUGCCUGGGCCUUUACUGACGCUAAGACUCGAAAGCUGGGGAGCAAACAGGAUUAGAUACCCUGGUAGUCCCAGCUGUAAACGAUGGUCACUAGAUGUGGGAGGUAUCGACCCCUUCCGUGUCGUAGCUAACGCUUUAAGUGACCCGCCUGGGGAGUACGGCCGCAAGGUUAAAACUCAAAGGAAUUGACGGGG
rnacentral:rRNA from 1 species